CCGCGACGGGUGAAGUAACAACGUUACUACCCAACCUGCCGUCUACUCUUGGACACCCUUCUGAAAAGGAAGUAUUAAUACAGAUGGCAUCAUGAGUCCGCAUGUUCACAUGAUUAAAGGUAUUCCGGUAGACGAUGGGGAUGCGUUCCAUUAGAUAGUAGGCGGGGUAACGGCCCACCUAGUCUUCGAUGGAUAGGGGUUCUGAGAGGAAGGUCCCCCACAUUGGAACUGAGACACGGUCCAA
rnacentral:rRNA from 1 species